ACUACGGGCGGCAGCAGUGAGGAAUAUUGGUCAAUGGACGGAAGUCUGAACCAGCCAUGCCGCGUGCAGGAAGACGGCUCUAUGAGUUGUACACUGCUUUUGUACAGGGUAAACCUGAACUCGUGUAUUUAGCUGAAAGUACUGUACGAAUAAGGAUCGGCUAACUCCGUGCCAGAUGCCGCGUUAAUUGGGGGGAUCCAAGCGUUAUCCGGAUUUUUUGGGUUUAAAGGGUGCGUAGGCGGAUGUAUAAGUUAGAGGUGAAAAGUCCGAGCUUAACUCGGGAACUGCCUUCAAUACUGUUGAUCUAGAGAGUAGAUGCGGUAAGCGGAAUGUAUGGUGUAGCGGUGAAAUGCUUAGAGAUCAUACAGAACACCGAUUGCGAAGGCAGCUUACCAAUCUAUAUCUGACGUUGAGGCACGAAAGCGUGGGGAGCAAACAGGAUUAGAUACCCCGGUAGUC
rnacentral:rRNA from 1 species